rnacentral:rRNA from 1 species
GAUGAACGCUGGCGGCGUGCCUAAUACAUGCAAGUCGAACGAAACUUCUUUAUCACCGAGUGCUCGCACUCACCGAUAAAGAGUUGAGUGGCGAACGGGUGAGUAACACGUGGGCAACCUGCCCAAAAGAGGGGGAUAACACUUGGAAACAGGUGCUAAUACCGCAUAACCAUAGUUACCGCAUGGUAACUAUGUAAAAGGUGGCUAUACUACCGCUUUUGGAUGGGCCCGCGGCGCAUUAGCUAGUUGGUAGGGUAAAGGCUUACCAAGGCAAUGAUGCGUAGCCGAAUUGAGAGGUUGAUCGGCCACAUUGGGACUGAGACACGGCCCAAACUCCUACGGGAGGCAGCAGUAGGGAAUCUUCCACAAUGGGCGAAAGCCUGAUGGAGCAACGCCGCGUGGGUGAAGAAGGUCUUCGGAUCGUAAAACCCUGUUGUUAGAGAAGAAAGUGCGUGAGAGUAACUGUUCACGUUUCGACGGUAUCUAACCAGAAAGCCACUGCUAACUACGUG